GGCUCUCAAUUUGAAUCUCCAUUUUACAGUUGAAGUAACUGGGCCACGGUCAAGUUAAAUGACAUGCCUAAGGUAGUACAGCCACCAAAUGGCAGGGUCAGGCUUGAAAGCCAGGUCCUUGCGACCGGCAGGCCUGUGCUCUAACCACUAGACAAUGCUGCUUUUUCUCACGUUAACACACUCUACUCCCGCUCACACCCAGUGCCAUCAGUGUGUUAUCUGUGUGAAAUAAGUUUUAGUUUGUCAUAUGCUUAAAAGAAAUGAUAGUGAGCUUGUCUGGUGUGCGAAACUUAGGGGUCGGUGGGCUGUGGGUUAUUACAGGCCAAAGGGGGUUAUUUCAGAGCAAUGUGAGUUGUUAACUGAGGGUGUAUGUGGGUUAAUUCACAUCCCGUGGCAGACGUAUCAGAUAUCUGACAUCUCCACGGUCAGCGUCUCCUUCGCCUCGGGUGGCUCGGACGUCUGCGGCUCCGUCCUCAUCAUCUCCCUCGGCUCUGAUGUCUCCUUCGUCUCCGGCUCCCCCAGCUCCAUCAGUGUGGCUGCGCGACACAUCAUCCUGGCCUUGAGGACCAUCCCCUUGCAGGGACCAGUUUUCUCAACACCAUAUGGGUUUCAGCCAGAACCAGCACAGAAACUACAGUAACAACUGACUUCCCUCAGAGCGAUGCUCCAGGCUCCUCCUCCAGGCACCUGGAGGAGGUUUUGGUGAUGCUGUUAAAUGCAAGCCCUGGCUUUGAGGAUCAACCCCUUGUAGUGUGGGCACAGACAAGUCAAUCACCAGACUUGCCCCAGCAGAUUGAACUGUCUGGACCAUGUGGUCAUUACCAAGGGAAGAUAUUUUUGUUUUUGUCUGUGUGUGUGUGUGUGUGUGUGUGUGUGUAAAAUGGGGUUAGCUUUUGAGGAACAACAGUUAGGAGGAGGCUACCAUUCUUGGUAUAGAGUCUGAUUCUGGAACCUGGGUCUGGGAUCUGUAGAGGGAACUGGCUCUGUCUGACUUGCCUGAGGGACUGAGAAGAUGCGGGUCCCUUAAUUCUAUAGAUGAGGCAAACCUUCCUGCACCCACAGUCCUGUCAGUGGGGUCAACCUGCUCACCCUCAAGCCCUGGGGAAGGGACCUAUCUGGGCCUGCCAGUGGUAGUUUCUGGGAGUCCGGUAUCUGGAGUCAGGCAGGAAGACUAUCACUGUGUCUGUUUUGUUCCUCUUUGAAAAGCAGACUUCUGUGAUUGAGUUGUCACAGGUGUGGACGGGGAGCACAGAAGGCAGGCAUCACAAAUGAAAAUAGUCCAGUUUGGUUUGGACCUCCAGUCCCUGGAGUACAAGUCCCUUCUGGACUAACAAAUUUGGCGGGGGUGGCUAAGGAUUAGUCAGGUACAGUUCUGCAGUCAGCUUGUGUGAUAGAUGGUCUCUUUCUGGAGACCUCACAUCUGAUGGUGUUGGAGUCUCUGGGAGGGAGACUUGAAUGCUUGUCAAAAAAAGUCAUCUGAACUUACCUGUCUCUCUCCAGCUUGGAGACCACUGAUUCUCCGGCAGGAAUUAGUGCCUGGUGAUUUAGAUGUGGUCCUCAGCUGUGGACAGAAGGCAUGGGAAGCAGAGACUAGGGAAGGUGCCCGAAGAACGGACUAGGUCACGACCGACUGAUUGCUGGCCGUUCCUCUGGACACAGACUGGGAGGAAUAACCAUGGCCAUGAGGAGCUUCAGGGUAGAGCAUGGGUCUCCCGUUGCCUUGGACACCUUCCUUGUUGCUGGCAUUUCCCACGGUGUACAGUGACUAAACCGGAACUGUUGAUUUUUCUACCCCGAUGGUGUAGUGUUCCUGUAAUAGGUUUUUGUAUGAUAAUGUCUAUCUCCCACCUAGCCUGUAAGCCCAGAGUGGGAAAGUAACUGUACUCUCCCCAAGGCUGUGGACAGUGUAAGAGUUGAAUAAAAGAGGAUUGGGCUAGAGAACAA